rnacentral:rRNA from 1 species
CACGUAGGGUGCGAGCGUUGUCCGGAAUUAUUGGGCGUAAAGAGCUCGUAGGCGGUGUGUCGCGUCGGCCGUGAAAACCUGCAGCUUAACUGUGGGCGUGCGGUCGAUACGGGCAUCACUGGAGUUCGGCAGGGGAGACUGGAAUUCCUGGUGUAGCGGUGAAAUGCGCAGAUAUCAGGAGGAACACCGGUGGCGAAGGCGGUUCUCUGGGCAUUACCUGACGUGAGGAGCGAAAGCCGUGGGGAGCAAACAGG